CAUCAUACCCGUCAUUUCCUGCAAGAGCAGUAGAGCGGCACUCACGGGAAGGCUCUAGAGCGGCAGGCAGGAGCAAGGCCGAGGACGAUGAUGUCGGAGAAGAAGCAGCCCGUAGAUUUGGGGCUUCUGGAAGAGGACGACGAGUUCGAGGAGUUUCCUUGCGAAGACUGGGCUGGUUUAGAUGAAGAUGAAGAUGCACAUGUGUGGGAGGACAACUGGGAUGAUGACAAUGUCGAAGAUGAUUUCUCCAAUCAGUUAAGAGCGGAAUUAGAAAAACACUGCUAUAAGAUGGAAACGGCAUAGCUUCCUCUGAUAAGGUCAUUUGAGAUUGGACUGUAAACUGAACACAGAGGUGUGUGGAUUGGAAUGCAAAAUGGAAGAUCAGACACUGGACUGACUAUUGUUACCCUAAUUUUGUUUUGUAUAAAUAAAAAAUUGAAUCCACGUGUUGUAUUAUCUGGAUGCUGUUUAAAUUCCCCUGUGAAUUGCUAAUGUGGCCCAAAUUAAGUUAUUAGCCAUGCUAAGGUGUACACGGGUUUGCUUUAACAUUGAUGUCCUUAGUAUUACUGACGGUAACUUCAACGUAAGUACCUUUUGUUGUUUCCUCACUUUGUAACUAAACUAGGAGAAAACUUGGCAAUGCUUACUCUUCAGCACUACUUAAGAAGUCUUAAAACGAAUUACAACAAUGAGCUCAAUACUUCAGAAAAAGAGACUCAUUUUAGAGGCCACCCACAAAAGAGUGGUUGGUAGUGGCAGCUUUGUAGUCCAGUUUAGGGAUGGGCACAAACUGAAUUACAAACCAAAAUUCAUUGGCCCGGUUCAUGGUUUGUGAGCCUUGGUUCAUGCGAUUGAGUCUCCCAAAAACCAAAACAUUUUUCAUGGAGGUUCGUAGGAGUGGUUUCUGGGCCAGACAUGCUCGUGCCAGUGAAUCAAUUGUCCAAGCAAUGGAAGGGGAUGGACUUCUGUGAUCCUUCUGCAGCCCUGGAAACACCAACAGUGGCCCUCCAAAGCUUAAUAGGCAACACUGGCUGCCAGCCAAAGAGCUCCCAUUCUGCUCUAAGCCUCUAGCUUGCAGCGGAUCCAUUUGACACACUCCUGAACCUGUGGCUGCUGUGAUUUCCCCAGAGAGCACUUUCCUGGGGGCAUCUGCUUUGGGUGUGUGUGACAGCCCCUCUAAAUCCAAUCCUCACCAAACUUGGAGGGCAGGUAGAGGAGAAUCAGCUGGAGACUUGCUGCAAGUUUGGCAUCUCUAGCCCUCGGGGGGCUGUUCUACCGCAUCAUGAACCACAAAGUGGUCUGUUAAAUGGGGGGGUUCGUUGUUUGUGAGACCCCACAAACCUCCAUUUUCUUGGUUCGUGCCCAUCCCUAGUCCAGCUUCCAUGUUUCAAUUCGUUUACAGCUGAGAGAUUUGCCUGUUUUAGACCUGUCAACAUCAUAACAGUUGAAGCCAUGCUGCCAAACUGCCCAGUAUUGAUUUUUGUACUAGCUACCCUGGAAAUGGAGUGUCAGAUUGCAGCGUUGAUGUUGAAUGAAUAUACUCCCCAGUGUUUGUUUUUCCACGAGUGUCAUGAGUAGCAAAAACAUCUUGCUUUGUUUUACAGGUCAGGGAGACUUCAGAGCACAGCAAAGAAAUACAUGGGAGUAACCUAAUAUUAGUACUAGAAACACUUUCUUUAACCUUGUUUAGCUAAAUAACCUUGACUGUUCUCUAGCAUAAUAGGGUAAAUGUAAUAAUGGUAUGUUGCCGGCUUCUAGGGAGACACUUGAGUGGCUUUGCUGAGUCAGCCACACUGGUGACAUGUCCCAGCUAGGGUUAUGUGCAGGACAUCAUGACUCCUGUGCCCUGAGCCCGAAAAGGAAAUGUCUGCUGCAGUUAGACAGUUAAACUUUAAAUUGUUAUACAGUUUUGCGUAGUCUGGGGGUAAGAAAGCAAAUGGCAACAUGAAUAGGGUAGCUGUGUUGGUCUGCAGUAGAACAACUAGAUACCAGAACAUGAAAUUGAGCAAACUUC